CUCGAUCCUCUCUCACUUCUCCACCCCAAAUCGAUCUCGCACAGAUCGUUUCUCGCUCGAGCUCGCAUAGGAACCACGAUUCUGCCCAAGCCCAGCUUUCUCCUCUUCCUUUCUCAACCCGAUCUUGUGUUGAAAUCAUAGAUGCUUGAUCUUGCCCAGAUUGCCCGAUUGGAACUAUUUGGUUAGGGAAACUCUUUCAGGAUGUUGGGCAACUGUUGGAGUGUUGACUGAGAAGGGGACUAAAAGAACUAGUUCUAUGGGGAAGAGCUAUGUGAUAUACAAAUUCGGGUGUUUGGAUGAAGAUACUGUUUCUGUUUUCUUGUUUGGUGAUGCUUAUGAGAGGAACUGCAAUGAGCCAGUUGGAAUGGUGUUUGCGCUGUUUAAUUGUAGCAUACGCAAGGAUGCUAAGGGUGCUGGUUUUUCUUUGAGUGUGUUUUCAGCCAAUCAUAUUGUGAAGAUCGGAACUUCUGUUGAUUAUGGAGUUUGCAGAGGGAAAAGAAAGGAUGGAAAGGCUUGUACUUUAGUCAUAAAUAA